rnacentral:lncRNA from 1 species
GUUAAUCUAGAAAUUUCACACCUAAAUUUUAAUGCUUAUUUCAUUUGUGACUUUUUCUGCUUUGUAAUUAUGAGACAUUUUCUGGGAAAGGGAUGUUGGGAUGUUAUGCUGUCUUAGAGAUGGAGAAUUUUUGUGAAAUUGUUACUUACAUUGCCACUUUCCCCCAAACGUUGACCCUUGAUUCAGAAAUCAUGCAUCUGGGAUGAGAAGUUACAAAGCAAGUUCUGCAUCAGUUGUGUUACAAGUUCAAAACAGCACCAGUUGGUCUCCUGUCGGAGGCAGUGUGACUGCCUUCCAUGCAGCCAUGCAGUGCCGUCCCGUGCGCACUGAGGGAGCUCGCUGUUCCUUUUCAAGUGAAUGGUUUUAGUGCUUGUUUUCCCAGUUUAGGUUUUUACUUGAACAUGUUUUUAGUUUUUCCUUUUAAUUAGGUAACCCCAUGGGAAAUUGUUCUGUGCACGUCUUUUGCACUAGGAUGGUAAAGCAAGAGAAACAGUUGGAGAUUCAGAAGAUGCCACUGUGGGGAGGGUGUCUCUGAGUGUAAACCAGAAGAUGUCACACCUUGUUUCCUUUGUGACAUCCUUCUUGAUUAGAAUAUCCAUACAGAUAAGCUGACUUGAAUUGUUGUGAGCAAUUUUCCCUGUGUUCUGUGUUUUAUGCACAUAUUCGUGGUUGGGUUUUCUCCAACAGAAAGUGGUUUCACUACUGGCACGGAUAGCUUUUUAUUCCAGCUCCAAGCACUGUGGUUGAAUAACAUCACCUCAAUUUUUUAUUAUCCUUUAAAGAUAUUGCAUUUUCAUAUUCUUUAUUUAUAAAGGAUCAAUGCUGCUGUAAAUACUGGUAUUUUUAAUGUUUUAAUUUCAUUCCACCACCAUCAGAUGCAGUUCCCUGUUUUGUUUGGUUAAGGGACAUAAGCUUUCUCAUGGUGUCUUCAGAGAUUUAUAAGUGUAAAUACUGAUUUGGCUGGUCUUUAUGAUGUGUUUAACUGUGAGGCUAUUUAAAUAGUGUGGAUGUGACUUGUCAUCCAGUAUUAAGUUCUUAGUUACUGGUUUUUGUGUUAAAAAAAAAUAAGAAAGAGGGAAGCUGCAGUUUUCGUUGUAGGCUCCCUAGCUGGUAAACUCUCCUCACGAGUUCACUGAACUCUGAUUUUUGCCUCUGGGUAGUGGGUUCUGAGCAUUUCUCCUGGGCUUUAAUUUGCUAAAGCUGUGCACAUAUGUAAAAAUCAAAAAAAUAGAUUAUUUUAGGGAAGAUGUAGGUGUAGAAUUAUUGCUUAUGUCAUUUCUUAAAGCAGUUAUGCUCUUAAUGCUUAAAAGAAGGCUAGCAUUGUUUGCACAAAAAAUUGGUGAUUUCCCUCCCCUGAACAGUAAUGAAAUUACUUCUGUUGAGUAAACUUUUUAUGUCAUCUUAUAAUAAAAGCUAAAAAUGCCCUUUGGUUCUAUUUAUAAAAAAAAAAAAGCUUUUCUAUAUGUACCCUUGAAAACAGAUUUUGAAGAAAUCAUGUAAGAUGAUAAAGCAUUUGAAUGGUACAAUAGAUGUAAAAAAAUUCAGUUUAAAAGAAACGUUUGUUUUUACAUUAAAUGUUUAUUUGAAAUCAAAUGAUUUUGUACAUAAAGUUCAAUAAUAUAAAGCUGUCUUCUGCUUUUCUUC